rnacentral:rRNA from 1 species
UACGGGGGGAGCAAGCGUUGUUCGGAUUCAUUGGGCGUAAAGGGUGCGUAGGCGGCGCGGUAAGUCGGGUGUGAAAUCUCGGGGCUUAACUCCGAAACUGCAUUCGAUACUGCCGUGCUUGAGGACUGGAGAGGAGACUGGAAUUUACGGUGUAGCGGUGAAAAUGCGUAGAUAUCGUAAGGAAGACCAGUGGCGAAGGCGGGUCUCUGGACAGUUCCUGACGCUGAGGCACGAAGGUCAGGGGAGCAAAACGGG